rnacentral:rRNA from 1 species
AUUGAACGCUGGCGGAAUGCUUUACACAUGCAAGUCGAACGGUAGAGGGGGCAACCCCUUGAGAGUGGCGAACGGGUGAGUAAUAUAUCGGAACGUGCCCAGUCGUGGGGGAUAACGUAGCGAAAGUUACGCUAAUACCGCAUACGAUCUAAGGAUGAAAGCGGGGGACCGUAAGGCCUCGCGCGAUUGGAGCGGCCGAUAUCAGAUUAGGUAGUUGGUGGGGUAAAGGCUCACCAAGCCAACGAUCUGUAGCUGGUCUGAGAGGACGACCAGCCACACUGGAACUGAGACACGGUCCAGACUCCUACGGGAGGCAGCAGUGGGGAAUUUUGGACAAUGGACGCAAGUCUGAUCCAGCCAUUCCGCGUGCAGGAUGAAGGCCCUCGGGUUGUAAACUGCUUUUGUACGGAACGAAAAGGUUUCUCUUAAUACGAGGGGCUCAUGACGGUACCGUAAGAAUAAGCACCGGCUAACUACGUG